UGGGGAAUAUUGCACAAUGGGCGAAAGCCUGAUGCAGCAACGCCGCGUGAGGGACGACGGCCUUCGGGUUGUAAACCUCUUUUAGCAAGGAAGAAGCGAAAGUGACGGUACUUGCAGAAAAAGCGCCGGCUAACUACGUGCCAGCAGCCGCGGUAAUACGUAGGGCGCAAGCGUUAUCCGGAAUUAUUGGGCGUAAAGAGCUCGUAGGCGGUUUGUCGCGUCUGCUGUGAAAACCCGAGGCUCAACCUCGGGCCUGCAGUGGGUACGGGCAGACUAGAGUGCGGUAGGGGAGAUUGGAACUCCUGGUGUAGCGGUGGAAUGCGCAGAUAUCAGGAAGAACACCGAUGGCGAAGGCAGAUCUCUGGGCCGUAACUGACGCUGAGGAGCGAAAGGGUGGGGAGCAAACAGGCUUAGAUACCCUGGUAGUCCACCCCGUAAACGUUGGGAACUAGUUGUGGGGUCCAUUCCACGGAUUCCGUGACGCAGCUAACGCAUUAAGUUCCCCGCCUGGGGGAGUACGGCCGCAAGGCUAAACUCAAAGGAAUUGACGGGGUCAUAGCUGUUUCCU
rnacentral:rRNA from 1 species